UACAGGGGAUGCGAGUGUUAUCCAGAAUUAUUGGGCGUAAAAGGUCUGCAGGUGGAAUUAUAAGUCUUUUGUUAAAUCUCUGGGCUUAACCCAGACUCUGCAAAAGAAACUGUUUUUCUAGAGUAUGGUAAGGGAUUAGGGAAUUUCCAGUGAAGCAGUAAAAUGUGUUGAUAUUGGAAAGAACACCGAUAGCGAAAGCACUUUUCUAGGCCAUUACUGACACUAAUAGACGAAAGUUAGGGGAGCGAACAGG
rnacentral:misc_RNA from 1 species